rnacentral:tRNA from 1 species
GGGGAUGUAGCUCAGUGGCACAGCACCUGCCUGGCAAGCGAGAGGUCCUGAGUUCAAUCCUGGGCACCCCCC